rnacentral:SRP_RNA from 1 species
GCCAGGAGUGGUGGCACUCACCUGUAGUCCCUACUACUUGGGAAGCUGAAGUGGGAAGAUUGCUUGAGCCCAGGAGUUCUGGGUUAUGAUGACUGAGUGUCUGCACUAAGCUUGGCAUCAAUAUGGUGACCUCUUGACCUCUUGGGAGUGGGGGACCACCAGGUUACCUAAGAAGAGGUGAAUCAGCCCAGGUCGGAAACCAAGCAGGUCAAAACUCAUGGGCUGAUCAGUAGUAAGGUCACCCCUGUGAAAAGCCAAUGUAAUCCAGCCUGAGCAACACAGUGAGACCCU